rnacentral:rRNA from 1 species
CUUGAACGCUGGCUGCAGGCCUAACACAUGCUAUUCGUACGAGUGGCGGACGGGUGAGUAAUGUCUGGGAAACUGCCUUAUGGUGGGGGAUAACUACUGGAAACGGUAGCUAAUACCGCAUACCAUCGGAUGUGCCCAGAUGGGAUUAGCUAGUAGGUGGGGUAAAGGCUCACCUAGGCGACGAUCCCUAGCUGGUCUGAGAGGAUGACCAGAAAGACGGGAACUGAGAAACGGGCAAGACGACGACGGGAGGCAGCAGUGGGGAAGAUUGCACAAUGGGAGGAAGACUGAGGCAGCCAUGCCGCGUGUAUGAAGAAGGCAGUCGGGUGGUAAAGUACUUUCAGCGGGGAGGCGUUACCCGCAGAAGAAGCACCGGCUAACUCCGUGCCAGCAGCCGCGGUAAUAC